UACGUAGGGGGCAAGCGUUGUCCGGAUUUAUUGGGCGUAAAGAGCGUGUAGGCGGUUUGGUAGGUCCGCUGUGAAAACUCGAGGCUCAACCUCGAGACGCCGGUGGAAACCAUCAGACUAGAGUCCGGAAGAGGAGAGUGGAAAUCCUGGUGUAGCGGUGAAAUGCGCAGAUAUCAGGAAGAACACCCGUGGCUAAGGCGGCUCUCUAGUACGGUACUGACGCUGAGACGCGAAAGCGUGGGGAGCGAACAGG
rnacentral:rRNA from 1 species